rnacentral:rRNA from 1 species
GUAGGUGGCAAGCGUUGUCCGGAAUUAUUGGGCGUAAAGCGCGCGCAGGCGGGUUCUUUAAGUCUGAUGUGAAAGCCCACGGGCUCAACCGUGGAGGGUCAUUGGAAACUGGGGAACUUGAGUACAGAAGAGGAAAGCGGAAUUCCACGUGUAGCGGUGAAAUGCGUAGAGAUGUGGAGGAACACCAGUGGCGAAGGCGGCUUUCUGGUCUGUAACUGACGCUGAGGCGCGAAAGCGUGGGGAGCAAACAGGAUUAGAUACCCUGGUAGUCCACGCCGUAAACGAUGAGUGCUAAGUGUUAGGGGGUUUCCGCCCCUUAGUGCUGCAGCUAACGCAUUAAGCACUCCGCCUGGGGAGUACGGCCGCAAGGCUG